rnacentral:tRNA from 1 species
CCGAAAAUAGCUCAGUUGGUAGAGCGGGAGACUGUAGUUGUGAAGUUAACCUUCAAUAGUAAUCUCUAGGUCCCUGGUUCAAGUCCGGGUUUUCGGA